AUCUCAACAUACUAAGUGAAUAAAAUCUCGACAAGUCAUAUAAUAUAAAUAAAAGACAGACACCUUAAUUAGAGCUGACACACUAAGACUCUGAAAGCAAAAGACGAGGUAGCUUCAAAGCUAGCCUCCAGCAACUCACCAAGUAAAACAAAACUUCUCCUGCACACCAUCUAUCCAUAAAUACGCAAAGGUAGGUAGUCAAACAAACGACCACUGGAGGUUUGUUCACAUUUCACAAUUAAAGUAUAAUCAAAUUAAAAUGAACGAUAUAAUUAAAUUCAAAUGAUUAAACAAUACUUAAGAAGCUCAACAUCAUUAAUAAUCAUCAAUCAUACAAGUAUGAUUAUACACAAGUACAUUUUCAACAUCAUCACAUAUUCAUCAAAUUUUACCAAGCACGUAAUUCAUCAAAUUUUACCAAGCACGUAAUUCAUCAAGUUCACCGAUCCACAUAAAUCACCAAGGUUCACCAAGCACAUAAACAAAUACGACACAUUUAAUCAAUUAUCAAAUGUAUGUAAUGCGCAUAAACACGACUUUAUAUGCAUGUCCUACCGGUUGUCGUCAUUUGAAUACAAAGUAUUCUUUUCGUCUUCGUCGGAUAUAAUGUCCUAGUCAUCUUCAUUGGAUAUAAAUAUCCUACUUAUGAAUGCAUGAACAUACGAAUCAACAAUGCACACGCUCAACAAAAAAUCGUCAUCAUUUUCUUCAUUUUUCAUAAAUGCAUUCAUCAUCAAUAACGUUGUCAUUAUGCAUGCAAUGAUUCAUCAACAUAAAUCAUCAUCAUCAUCAUAAUCAUUAUCAACAACAAUCAACUAAAGAAUCAACAAAGUUCCAAACUAAUGAAUAAACAAUUCUAGUCGUCUUCAUUGGAUAUAAAUAUCUUACUUAUGAAUGCAUGAAUAUACGACUCAACAAUGCAUACGCUCAAGAAAAAAUCGUGAUCAUUUUCGUCUUGAUUUUUCAUAC
rnacentral:lncRNA from 1 species